AAUAACCGUAUGAUUGUUGGAAAUUGUGUAUUAUUAUAAUACGAGUAGUAUAUGCACGUAUAAUCACCACCGAUUUCGUAGUUGAGAAAUACAUUGUUGCUUACUUUAUUGUUUACCGCUCUGUGGUACCAUAAUGCUUUAUUCAAGUUUAUAUUCUCUGUACGAGAGUCGAAUACUUGGCACUUAAGAAGUUUACAAAGUUGUUUGACUUUCGGUAAUAAACAUGUCUAAUGUCGUAUUCUAUGUAAUACUAUUUAGAUAACAAAUAUUUUGAUUUAAGUCUCUGUGCGAAUUAUUGAUAAUCAUUAUAAUAGCAACCUAACCUAACCUAACCUAACCUACCUAGGUAUAAUAGUACAUGAUUAUUUUUUUUUUGGUAUACAUGUUUGAGUUUAUUAGGCAUUUUGAGAGUAUCACUCAAAGUCCUUUAUUGAAUAUUCAAAAGAACAAACAAGUCUGAUAAUGCUGUUAGGUAUGCCACUGUUUUAGGAGAGAAGUUUUUAGGAGGAUUUAUAGAACAAUAUAAAUUAUACCUAAUUACUAACGAACAACGGGUUUGAUAGAAGCAUAUUAUUACUCGAUUAUUUUCCUUGUGUAUAAGGUAACUCAGAAAUCAAUACAAAUUAUGACUUCCUAACUAACUAAAUC